CACGCCUCACUGGGAUGUGGCAUCACAUCUCUCCAGGGACCUUUCCUCUGUGGACCUGUGCAACAUUUUCAAAAACUUUUGAAUGAAUACAUAAAAACAGUUCUACAUUUGGCUUCCGUCAGAUAUACGAAACACGGAUCGCAUGAGACGUCUCCCCUUAUUACUAACUCCCCUUGAAGAAACUCAAAGGCCAAGUGGUAUCUUGCUCAAGCAUCAGUGCUCAGUACGAUUCUUGGUGUCGCCUGUGAGAGAAGAGCGAGCCGCUGACAAAGAACAAAAGCCCACCAGAACCAGAAGGAUUCACUGCUGAUUUCUGUCAACCUGCUGGCUCUGACUUUUCUUACUGCUGGAAGACGACGGUGUUAAAACAAGGCUGAAUGCUGAGGGGAGAGAGAUAAGAGGUCUGCAGUAAAAAAGAAUAACCUGUCGUAUCGGGAGUGUUACGGCCUCAUGAGUCACAGGACCAAACAGGAAACAUGAGCGAGCGCUUUCUUUUCAAAAGAAAAGUCCCGUUUGAUGCCAUCAAAGGAAACACUGCGUUGAACAUUUGUAUGUUUUUCAGUUUUCGAUACCGCAAGUCAAUGGGUGGUAUACUUGGUUUUUUCCAGAUUCUGAGUAUGACCUGUUAUACUCAAAAGAUCUGAAACACUUAAAGUGAUGUGAACUGCUUCAUCGUGUGAGUUCUUGAAACAUAUUUAAAGGAAGUAAGUGCAAUUAGUAGUUUUUUUACUGCUUAUUUAAGUGCAGCUGAAGUUGCACUUCAAACACAGUACUUUUAUAACAUAAUAGAAUAUAAAUGAUUAAAAAAAAAAAGUUUAAGAAUAGCAAAGAAAGUGUGUGCGUCUGUGCGUAUGUGUGUGAGUGUGUUGGAGGUGUUUGUUUUUCAAUAUACAAUAGCAAGUUACAGGAUAAGUCAAUUGUCCUGCAAAAAUGCCAAAAUUUACUGUUAUGGUUGUUUUCAGCAAAAAUGAAUAUCACUGGAACAUGGAGUGCAUGUUAAUAAAAAUAACAUAUUGUCUUGGAUUUGGGAGGCAUGAAGGAGAUAAAACACAACAGGGGGAAAGCAGGUCAAGGAGGAAGAAGAACACGGCGGGACAGAUGGAGGGAAGAAGAGAUGUCACUCUUCAGGGGUCAAACCCAGACUGAAUGGCAAUUGAGUGGCUGUAAAGAAACCCGUUUCGAGUGCCCUCCGUCAGGCCUGAGCCAUGGAGCCGGUUGCCUAGGAGACACAUCACCUUCCACCAUGCGGGACGACGGCUCCCGCAGAUCAAC
ensembl:lncRNA